AGCGAAUCUAAUACCGGAUAUGAUCUUCUCCUUCUUGGGAGAGGAUUGAAAUAAGGUUUCAGCUAUCACUUACAGAUGGGCCCGCGGUGCAUUAGCUAGUUGGUGAGGUAACGGCUCACCAAGGCGAGAUGCAUAGCCGACCUGAGAGGGUGAUCGGCCACACUGGGACUGAGACACAGCCCAGACUCCUACGGGAGGCCCAGUAGGAAAUCUUCCACUUUGAACGAGAGUCUGACGCAACAUCACCGCGUGAGUGAUGAAGGCUUUCCGGUCGUAAAACUCUGUUGUUAGGGAAGAACAAAUACGAAAGUAACUGCUCGUGCCUUGACAGUACCUACCCAGAAUGCCACGGCUAGCUACGUGCCAGCAGCCGCGGUAAUACGUAGGUGGCAAGCAUUAUCCGGAAUUAUUGGGCGUAAAGCGCGCACAGGCGGUGUCUUAAUUCUGAUGUGAGAAUC
rnacentral:rRNA from 2 species